UCGGUUCAGGUUUCAGGAGGUUCAGUCCGUGGUUGGUGGCUCCAAGGCAGGAACAUCACGGUGAAGGGUGUGGUAGAGGAAAGCUACUUAGUUCACGGUGGCCAGGAAGUAGAGCAGGAGAAUAGUGCCAGAGAGGAAUGGGCCAGAGACCAGACCUCCAAGGUCCUGAGUCCACACAUAACCGAUACACCCAAAGUAUGUGUUGGUAAUCAAUCUAGUCAAGUUGAUAAUCACAAUUAAUAGUCAUAUCUGAGGAGGUAAUACAUGAACAAGAUCAAAGAAGUAAAGGCGUGAAGCAGGAAGGUAUCCCGGGGAAGAGUAGGACAGGCUGCAAAGGAGCAAGUGUGAAGGCCUUGCAGUGGGGCCAUGUUCAAAAACAUGUGGAAGGAAGGAAGGGAGGGAGGAAGGAAGGAAGAUAUCCAUGUUUUUAAGAAAGGGGAGGGAUGGGGACUUGAGAUAUUUACCAGGCAUAGUUAAGCCAAUGAGGAGCUGAUAUGUUUGAAUGACAAAUGCUCUAGAUGACAUCGAAUUGCGUAUUUACUUUUACUGUUUGAGGAUCCUCCCUUGGAAACAGUCUGGGAUGGAGAAGAAAGUUAUAGUGUUUGUCAAACCCAAUGGACGUAAAGUGGUUGUUUGGUAUUUACCGUGGAGCAAGGGUCUGAGCUGUGCUUCUUGGGGGGGGGGGGNNNNNNNNNNNNNNNNNNNNNNNNNNNNNNNNNNNNNNNNNNNNNNNNNNNNAAGAAAGAGGGGGAGGGGGAGGAGGCGGCUGUGCUCCGAGGACAACAAGAUGUGGGCAAAACACUUCCAAGUUCAAAGCUGCUGUGCAAUCGCCGUGGGCGCCCAGGCAGGGGAGAGGACCGUCAUGCCUUCGCGGCCGUUUGCCACCAGGGCGCGCUCGAGUUCACGGCAAGGUCCUCCCGUUGCUGGAAACUUGGAAUAACAAUUUCAUCAUUGAGAUUCCAUUCGGCCAGUUACAGAGACCUGCAAAAGACAAGCCUAAAUGUUCCAUUACCUUGGAGUAUCCUUUAGAUCAGAGGUGAGCAAAUUUUUUUUCCUGUGGCCAUUUUAGGCUCUUGACCAGAUCAUUCUACCUACUCUCUUUGCAGCUGUAGACAGGAACAAGGUGAACAUGUGGC
rnacentral:lncRNA from 1 species